CUACGGGGGGCAGCAGUGGGGAAUAUUGGGCAAUGGGCGCAAGCCUGACCCAGCAACGCCGCGUGAGGGAAGAAGGUUCUCGGAUUGUAAACCUCUGUCCUUGGGGACGAAGAAAGUGACGGUACCCAAGGAGGAAGCUCCGGCUAACUACGUGCCAGCAGCCGCGGUAAUACGUAGGGAGCAAGCGUUGUCCGGAAUUACUGGGCGUAAAGGGUGCAUAGGCGGCAUAUUAAGUCAGGUGUGAAAUAUUCGGGCUCAACCCGAAGGGUGCAUUUGAAACUGGUAUGCUUGAGUGUGAGAGAGGAAAGUGGAACUCCUAGUGUAGCGGUGAAAUGCGUAGAUAUUAGGAGGAACACCAGUGGCGAAGGCGACUUUCUGGCUCAUAACUGACGCUGAGGCACGAAAGCGUGGGUAGCAAACAGGAUUAGAUACCCCAGUAGUC
rnacentral:rRNA from 1 species